rnacentral:sRNA from 1 species
CUGAAAAAAGAUGGUGAAUGAUCCUGUCGUGC